rnacentral:rRNA from 1 species
AUUGAACGCUGGCGGCAGGCCUAACACAUGCAAGUCGAGCGAGCGGCGGACGGGUGAGUAAUGUCUGGGAAACUGCCUGAUGGAGGGGGAUAACUACUGGAAACGGUAGCUAAUACCGCAUACCAUCAGAUGUGCCCAGGUGGGAUUAGCUCGUAGGUGGGGUAACGGCUAACCUAGGCGACGAUCCCUCGCUGGUCUGGGAGGAUGACCAGCCAAACGGGAACGGAGAAAGGGGCAAAACUCCAACGGGGGGAAGCGGUGGGGAAUAUUGCACAAUGGGCGCAAGCCUGAUGCAGCCAUGCCGGGUGUGUGAAGAAGGCUUUCGGGUUGUAAAGCACUUUCAGCGGGGAGGCGUUACCCGCAGAAGAAGCACCGGCUAACUCCGUGCCAGCAGCCGCGUAAUUC